rnacentral:rRNA from 1 species
AUUGAACGCUGGCGGCAUGCUUUACACAUGCAAGUCGAACGGUAACAGCACUUCGGUGGCUGACGAGUGGCGAACGGGUGAGUAAUACAUCGGAACGUGCCUAGUAGUGGGGGAUAACUACUCGAAAGAGUAGCUAAUACCGCAUGAGAUCUAAGGAUGAAAGCAGGGGACCUUCGGGCCUUGCGCUACUAGAGCGGCUGAUGGCAGAUUAGGUAGUUGGUGGGAUAAAAGCUUACCAAGCCGACGAUCUGUAGCUGGUCUGAGAGGACGACCAGCCACACUGGGACUGGGACACGGCCCAGACUCCUACGGGAGGCAGCAGUGGGGAAUUUUGGACAAUGGGCGCAAGCCUGAUCCAGCAAUGCCGCGUGCAGGAUGAAGGCCUUCGGGUUGUAAACUGCUUUUGUACGGAACGAAAAGCCCUCUUCUAAUACAGGAGGGUCAUGACGGUACUGUAAGAAUAAGCACCGGCUAACUACGUG